GAUGAACGCUGGCGGCGUGCCUAAUACAUGCAAGUCGAGCGAACAGACGAGGAGCUUGCUCCUCUGACGUUAGCGGCGGACGGGUGAGUAACACGUGGAUAACCUACCUAUAAGACUGGGAUAACUUCGGGAAACCGGAGCUAAUACCGGAUAAUAUAUUGAACCGCAUGGUUCAAUAGUUAAAGACGGUUUUGCUGUCACUUAUAGAUGGAUCCGCGCCGCAUUAGCUAGUUGGUAAGGUAACGGCUUACCAAGGCAACGAUGCGUAGCCGACCUGAGAGGGUGAUCGGCCACACUGGAACUGAGACACGGUCCAGACUCCUACGGGAGGCAGCAGUAGGGAAUCUUCCGCAAUGGGCGAAAGCCUGACGGAGCAACGCCGCGUGAGUGAUGAAGGUCUUCGGAUCGUAAAACUCUGUUAUUAGGGAAGAACAAAUGUGUAAGUAACUAUGCACGUAUUGACGGUACCUAAUCAGAAAGCCACGGCUAACUACGUG
rnacentral:rRNA from 1 species